rnacentral:rRNA from 1 species
CUCUUACCAUUCCGAACAGAGAAGUUAAGCCCAUUAGCGCCGAUGGUACUACACUUGUGGAAGAGUAGGUCGCCGCCUUUU